rnacentral:rRNA from 1 species
UACGUAGGGUGCAAGCGUUAAUCGGAAUUACUGGGCGUAAAGCGUGCGCAGGCGGUUGUGCAAGACAGAUGUGAAAUCCCCGGGCUCAACCUGGGAACUGCAUUUGUGACUGCACGGCUGGAGUGCGGCCGAGGGGGAUGGAAUUCCGCGUGUAGCAGUGAAAUGCGUAGAUAUGCGGAGGAACACCGAUGGCGAAGGCAAUCCCCUGGGCCUGCACUGACGCUCAUGCACGAAAGCGUGGGGAGCAAACAGG